UAAGACGAACCGUGCGAACGUUAUUCGGAAUCACUGGGCUUAAAGCGCGUGUAGGCGGGACGGCACGUCUGUCGCUGAAAUCCCCCGGCUUAACCGGGGAACUGGCGUAGAUACGACCGUCCUGGAGGGGCGUAGGGGGACCUGGAACUUCCGGUGGAGCGGUGAAAUGCGUUGAGAUCGGAAGGAACGCCCGUGGCGAAAGCGAGGUCCUGG
rnacentral:rRNA from 1 species